rnacentral:tRNA from 1 species
AUUUUUAUAGUUUAACACAAAACAUAGCUUUGAAAAAGCUAAAAUAAUUCUAUUUUAAAAAUA